rnacentral:tRNA from 2 species
GCGGGUGUAGCUCAGGGGUAGAGCGUUUGCUUCCCAAGCAAAAUGUCGAGAGUUCGAAUCUCUUCACCCGCUCCA